rnacentral:rRNA from 1 species
GACGAACGCUGGCGGCGUGCUUAACACAUGCAAGUCGAACGGAAAGGCCCUGCUUUUGUGGGGUGCUCGAGUGGCGAACGGGUGAGUAACACGUGAGUAACCUGCCCUUGACUUUGGGAUAACUUCAGGAAACUGGGGCUAAUACCGGAUAGGAGCUCCUGCUGCAUGGUGGGGGUUGGAAAGUUUCGGCGGUUGGGGAUGGACUCGCGGCUUAUCAGCUUGUUGGUGGGGUAGUGGCUUACCAAGGCUUUGACGGGUAGCCGGCCUGAGAGGGUGACCGGCCACAAUGGGACUGAGGUACGGCCCAGACUCCAACGGGAGGCAGCGGUGGGGAAUAUUGCACAAUGGGCGGACGCCUGAUGCAGCAGCGCCGCGUGCGGGAUGACGGCCUUCGGGUUGUAAACCGCUUUCGCCUGUGACGAAGCGUGAGUGACGGUAAUGGGUAAAGAAGCACCGGCUAACUACGUG